AUUGAACGCUGGCGGCAGGCCUAACACAUGCAAGUCGAGCGGCGCGUCGGACGGGUGAGUACUGCCUAGGAAUUUGCCUGGUAGUGGGGGAUAACGUCCGGAAAGGGGAGCUUAUACCGCAUACUAUCAGAUCAGCCUCGGUGGGAUUAGCUAGUUGGUGGGGUUAAGGCCUACCAAGGCGACGAUCCGGAACUGGUCUGAGAGGAUGAUCAGUCACACUGGAACUGGGAAACGGUCCAGACUCCUAACGGAGGCAGCAGGGGGGAAUCGUCCGCAAUGGAAGAAAGGCUGAAGGAGCAAAGCCGCGUGAGUGAUGAAGGCCUUCGGGUUGGAAAGCGCUGUUAGUCGGGACGCGGUACCGGAAUAGAAAGCCACGGCUAACUACGUGCCAGCAGCCGCGGUAAUUC
rnacentral:rRNA from 1 species